CCUACGGGAGGCAGCAGUGAGGAAUAUUGGUCAAUGGACGAGAGUCUGAACCAGCCAAGUAGCGUGAAGGAUGACUGCCCUAUGGGUUGUAAACUUCUUUUAUAUGGGAAUAAAACGUUCCACGUGUGGGAUUUUGUAUGUACCAUAUGAAUAAGGAUAGGCUAACUCCGUGCCAGCAGCCGCGGUAAUACGGAGGAUCCGAGCGUUAUCCGGAUUUAUUGGGUUUAAAGGGAGCGUAGGUGGAUUGUUAAGUCAGUUGUGAAAGUUUGCGGCUCAACCGUAAAAUUGCAGUUGAUACUGGCAGUCUUGAGUACAGUAGAGGUGGGCGGAAUUCGUGGUGUAGCGGUGAAAUGCUUAGAGAUCACGAAGAACUCCGAUUGCGAAGGCAGUUCACUGGACUGCAACUGACACUGAGGCUCGAAAGUGUGGGUAUCAAACAGGAUUAGAUACCCCAGUAGUC
rnacentral:rRNA from 1 species